GAUGAACGCUGGCGGCGUGCCUAAUACAUGCAAGUCGAGCGAACAGACGAGGAUCUUGCUUCUCUGACGUUAGCGGCGGACGGGUGAGUAACACGUGGAUAACCUACCUAGAAGACUGGGAUAACGUCGGGAAACCGGAUCUAAUACCGGAUAAUAUAGUGAACCGCAUGGUUCAAUAGUGAAAGACGGAUUUGCUGUCACUUAUAGAUGGAUCCGCGCCGCAUUAGCUAGUUGGUAAGGUAACGGCUUACCAAGGCAACGAUGCGUAGCCGACCUGAGAGGGUGAUCGGCCACACUGGAACUGAGACACGGUCCAGACUCCUACGGGAGGCAGCAGUAGGGAAUCUUCCGCAAUGGGCGAAAGCCUGACGGAGCAACGCCGCGUGAGUGAUGAAGGUCUUCGGAUCGUAAAACUCUGUUAUUAGGGAAGAACAAAUGUGUGAGUAACUAUGCACGUCUUGACGGUACCUACACAGAAAGCCACGGCUAACUACGUG
rnacentral:rRNA from 1 species